UCUCUUCAUUCUUUUUCUUCUUCUUCUCUUCUAUUUCUUCUUCCUCCACCGAAUCAUCGCCAUUCUCUCUCUGCCACAAACUGUUGUCGUUCGGUAGUGUCUGCCACAAGCAAGCUCACAGUGGAACUCGCCUUUUCUUUCUCUCCAUGUUGAUAUCCAUCGAUUACCCAACAACCCAUUUUCUGGUGGAAAUCGAGAUCGGUACAGUGAGGCGAAAUCAGAGUUGCAGCGCCACCGUGAAGCUCCAACGAGUUUCCAAGCCUCCUAAAUCCUUCGUUUAGAAUCAAUGGCUCCGGCGACCCUUUUACCUUCUUCUCUGUAAUUAUCUAAUACCCAUUCCAUUUUGUGGGUUGAGUUCUUUUUCCAAAUCCCUCAAUUAUCAUCCUCUUCCAUGCUCUGUUAUGUCUCUGUCGAGAAUCAACUUUGGCAAUGAUCUCUCAAGCUACAGAAGGAUGUCUCGAUGCCUCUAGUAAGUUUCCAAAUCUCAAAGCCGCUUGGUUUGGGAUCGAAAGAGAAGCAGCAACCUCGGCUAUGCGUUUUCAAUUUGUGGAGACUUGAUGUUAUGAGGAUCAUUCAGACUUGGAGCAGCAACAGUAACAACUAUAUGAUGGGUUUCGAUAACAGUUGAGAUUAUGCAAUCAACAACGGGUAGAUCUAUAGGACAUACACGAACACCAAUUAGUAAUCCAAGAUUCCAGACAGGCUAUGCCAUCCCCUAAGGUGCUGCUAAAUGGCGUCAA